rnacentral:rRNA from 1 species
CCCCGUCCGAGUGGCACCUGAUCAGCCAUGCCGCGUGAGUGAAGAAGGCCUUCGGGUUGUAAAGCUCUUUCAGCCGGAAAGAAAUGGUUACGGUUAAUACCCGUGACUAAUGACGGUACCGGAAGAAGAAGCACCGGCUAACUACGUGCCAGCAGCCGCGAUAAUAA